UUGAAAAGUAAGGAACAAGCCGAGCCCUAUUUUGUACAAGGAGAACCCUUUUGGUACCAAAGGGUUGAGGUCCAGGUGAAGGAUCCAGUGGUGGACGGGGAAAGGAGCAAAGCUAGGGGUUUGCUUGUGAUUUGUAAAGAACUGCAACCCCUUUCUUUUGAGCAAAUAUAUUGUAAUGUAUUUAAGAUUAGGGUGCCAGUAGGAUAUGAUUAUGUAUGUGUGUGUGAAUAUGUGUGGAUUGUGUGCUUGUGUAUGAAUUUUUGUCUGUUUGCAGACUUGUGGCUAGGAAACUUGGUUA